GCAGGCUGCAACUCGCCUGCAUGAAGUCGGAAUUGCUAGUAAUCGCAGAUCAGCAUGCUGCGGUGAAUACGUUCCCGGGCCUUGUACACACCGCCCGUCACACCAUGGGAGUCGGUAACACCCGAAGUCGGUAGCCUAACCGUAAGGAGGGCGUCGCCGAAGGUGGGGAUUGAUGACUGGGGUGAAGUCGUAACAAGGUAUC
rnacentral:rRNA from 1 species